GCACUUACCUGCUUCGGCAUUACAUGUACUAAACUUGAAAAGAUAAUGGAAAGAUUAACAUAGCCCCUGUGCAAGGAUGACAUGCAAAAUUGUUAAAAUAGAACGGACACA
rnacentral:snRNA from 1 species